GCCGAGCGCAGUGUCACGUGCCUUUAGUCCCAGCUACUCGGGAGGCUGAGGUGGGAGGAUCGCUUGAGCCCAGGGCUUCUGGGCUGUAGUGCGCUAUGCCAGUCGGGUAUCCGCACUAAGUUCGUCAUCAAUAUGGUUACCUCCCGGGACUGGGGGGCCGCCAGGUUGCCUAAAGAGGGGUGAACCGGCCCAGGUCAGAAACAGAGCAGGUUAAAACUCCUGUGCUGAUCAGUAGUGGGAUUGCGCCUGUGAAUAGCCACUGCACUCCAGCCUGGGCAACAUAGUGAGACCCCGUCUCU
rnacentral:SRP_RNA from 1 species